UGUCAUUUUCUUAUUUUACAUGGCCAUUAAAAAUAUUAAUUUGAAGCAAUAUUUGAUUAAAUUUAUUUUUAUUUAUGUUUAAUUUAUAAUUUUUCUUCAUUAAAUAUUUACUCUACAUAUACAGAGGCGGAUCUAGGGCCCGACAAGGAUGUUAACCCGAACGACUUCCUCAAAAAAUUACACCUUAUAUGUAAGGUGGGCACUCCAUUUGUUAGAGAACAGGAAAAGGCUUUAGGGAAUGAGGUGGUUGCCUCGAGUUUGCUGUUGAGGUGGUAAUCUCUAUGGAACCAGUGUAGAAGCUGUUGAGGUGGUUGCUGAUGCUGGCAAGAUAGGUAGGGGAAGGAGAAAAGAGGAGGGGAUUAAAACGUGAGGAUUCGAAUCCUCACUAAUAAAGUGAAAGUUAAGGUAGCCAACCAACUGAGCUACUAGAUUUCUACCGGGGGCAUUUCUCAAAUGCAGUUCCAGAAUCAAUCGAUUUGUCCAGCGAACUUUCAGUGUCAAAGAUUGAUCAAAAGCUUCUGAUCAACUCUAGUGCUGUUGAACAUUAAAAGGCAUCAAACAACAUGUACGUUCUGGACUUGUCUUUGCUCAAAGGAGGAGCCCCAGGACGGACAAGAGGACUAAACAUGUACGCCAACUGUGACAACCAGCUGAGCUCUAACAUCACACAUCCCAGAACUUAGUGGUAUCCAGUUCUGUUUCAAAGUUGUUUUUCUUCUUUAAGUCAAACGCAGAGGGCUCGAACCCCUUUGAGAGAACCACAGUUUUUUUAUUUCCUGAUAUCAAUGUAGAAAGAGAUCUAUGAUGGAUCUUGCUAACCUAGUACUACUCCGUACUACUCCCUCUGUCCCGCUUUAUGCGUUGCAGUUACUUUUUCAACAAGUUGAUUCAGUUCUCAUAGAAUAUGUAAGCAAAGGCAAACACCGAAAACCACUUCCCUUUCCUUAUCAUUUUAAUGUUGCUAUUUAAGAAA